rnacentral:lncRNA from 1 species
GCUCGUUAAACACCUCAGUAUAUUCCUCAAGUACCUUCUGUAGCUUUGGAGGGACCGUUGUGGCCUUUUUCGAAACCUCAUUCUCCACUUGCACUCCAUUAUACUCAACCAACAUCGCCUCUUCCCCUUGCUGCAUCGUCUUCAUGAGUGACUUGAAGGACACUGCAUCACACCUUAGGCUCGGGUCUCCUUCCAAAACGUACCUAUCAGUCCCCACUCUGAAACGGAGAAUUUGAAGUUUCCAGUUGACCUUCAUGUUCCCCAGUGUCUCAAGCCACUGAAUGCCUAAGAUGACAUCAGCACUCCCCAGCUCCAACGGUAAGAAACUGGAGGUAACGGUACACCCGGGUAACUCCAACUCCAGCUCACUACACCGCCCCGCUCCUGUGAAUGUUACUCCUCCCGCC